rnacentral:rRNA from 1 species
AUUGAACGCUGGCGGCAGGCCUAACACAUGCAAGUCGAGCGGAUGAAGGGAGCUUGCUCCUGGAUUCAGCGGCGGACGGGUGAGUAAUGCCUAGGAAUCUGCCUGGUAGUGGGGGAUAACGUCCGGAAACGGGCGCUAAUACCGCAUACGUCCUGAGGGAGAAAGUGGGGGAUCUUGGACCUCACGCUAUCAGAUGAGCCUAGGUCGGAUUAGCUAGUUGGUGGGGUAAAGGCCUACCAAGGCGACGAUCCGUAACUGGUCUGAGAGGAUGAUCAGUCACACUGGAACUGAGACACGGUCCAGACUCCUACGGGAGGCAGCAGUGGGGAAUAUUGGACAAUGGGCGAAAGCCUGAUCCAGCCAUGCCGCGUGUGUGAAGAAGGUCUUCGGAUUGUAAAGCACUUUAAGUUGGGAGGAAGGGCAGUAAGUUAAUACCUUGCUGUUUUGACGUUACCAACAGAAUAAGCACCGGCUAACUUCGUG